AUACUUACCUGGCAGGAGAAACACCAUGAUCAGGAAGGUGGUUUUCCCAGGGUGAGGCCCAUCCAUUGCACUUGGGAUGUGCUGACCCCUGAGAUUUCCCCAACUGUGGGAAACUAGACUGCAUAAUUUGUGGUAGUGGGGGACUGCGUUCACACUCUCCCCUG
rnacentral:snRNA from 1 species